GCAGAUGUCGUCCAGCAGCCAGGAUGCCCCGCUGCCAGCGGGUAGACGACAGUGCAAGUCUGUCCAUCUGCUCCA
rnacentral:tRNA from 1 species